AUUGAACGCUGGCGGCAUGCCUUACACAUGCAAGUCGAACGGCAGCACGGGUGCUUGCACCUGGUGGCGAGUGGCGAACGGGUGAGUAAUACAUCGGAACGUACCUUAUCGUGGGGGAUAACGCCGCGAAAGCUGUGCUCAUACCGCAUACGCCCUGAGGGGGAAAGCGGGGGAUCGAAAGACCUCGCGCGAUUAGAGCGGCCGAUGCCUGAUUAGCUUGUUGGUGGGGUAAAAGCCCACCAAGGCGACGAUCAGUAGCUGGUCGGAGAGGACGAUCAGCCACACUGGGACGGAGACACGGCCCAGACUCCUACGGGAGGCAGCAGUGGGGAAUUUUGGACAAUGGGGGCAACCCUGAUCCAGCAAUGCCGCGUGAGUGAAGAAGGCCUUCGGGUUGUAAAGCUCUUUUGUCAGGGAAGAAACACCGGCUCUAACACAGUCCGGGAAUGACGGUACCUGAAGAAUAAGCACCGGCUAACUACGUGCCAGCCGCCGCUGUAA
rnacentral:rRNA from 1 species